rnacentral:rRNA from 1 species
UACGUAGGGGGCGAGCGUUGUCCGGAUUUAUUGGGCGUAAAGAGCGUGUAGGCGGCUUGGUAGGUCCGCUGUGAAAACUCGAGGCUCAACCUCGAGAUGUCGAUGGAAACCGUCUGGCUAGAGUCCGGAAGAGGAGUGUGGAAUUCCUGGUGUAGCGGUGAAAUGCGCAGAUAUCAGGAAGAACACCUAUGGCGAAGGCAGCACUCUGGGACGGUACUGACGCUGAGACGCGAAAGCGUGGGGAGCGAACAGG